UCGAGGAUCUUCGUCAAUGGGCGAAAGCCUGAACGAGCGACGCCGCGUGUGCGAUGAAGGCCUUCGGGUUGUAAAGCACAAAGGGAAUGAACAAGGCCGAAAGGUUUGAGUGAGUUCCAGUAAGCACGGGCUAAGUUCGUGCCAGCAGCCGCGGUAAGACGAACCGUGCGAACGUUGUUCGGAAUCACUGGGCUUAAAGGGCGCGUAGGCGGGCAAUCAAGUCGGUGGUGAAAUACUACAGCUCAACUGUAGAACUGCCUCCGAUACUGGUCGUCUCGAGGGAGGUAGGGGCGUGCGGAACUGUUGGUGGAGCGGUGAAAUGCGUUGAUAUCAACAGGAACUCCGGUGGCGAAGGCGGCACGCUGGACCUCUUCUGACGCUGAGGCGCGAAAGCCAGGGGAGCAAACG
rnacentral:rRNA from 1 species